UACGUAGGGCGCAAGCGUUGUCCGGAAUUAUUGGGCGUAAAGAGCUCGUAGGUGGUUUGUUACGUCUGCUGUGAAAACCUAGGGCUUAACCCUGGGCCUGCAGUGGAUACGGGCAGACUAGAGGUAGGUAGGGGAGAAUGGAAUUCCCGGUAUAGCGGUGAAAUGCGCAGAUAUCGGGAGGAACACCGGUGGCGAAGGCGGUUCUCUGGGCCUUACCUGACACUGAGGAGCGAAAGCGUGGGGAGCGAACAGG
rnacentral:rRNA from 1 species